rnacentral:rRNA from 1 species
AUUGAACGCUGGCGGAAUGCUUUACACAUGCAAGUCGAACGAUGAACCUUAGCUUGCUAAGGGGAUUAGUGGCGAACGGGUGAGUAAUAUAUCGGAACGUACCUUGUAAUGGGGGAUAACUAGUCGAAAGAUUAGCUAAUACCGCAUACGCCCUGAGGGGGAAAGUAGGGGAUCUUCGGACCUUACGUUAUAGAGCGGCCGAUAUCUGAUUAGCUAGUUGGGGGGGUAAUGGCCUACCAAGGCGACGAUCAGUAGCUGGUCUGGGAGGACGACCAGCCACACUGGAACUGAGACACGGUCCAGACUCCUACGGAAGGCAGCAGUGGGGAAUUUUGGACAAUGGGCGCAAGCCUGAUCCAGCCAUUCCGCGUGAGUGAAGAAGGCCUUCGGGUUGUAAAGCUCUUUCGCAAGGGAAGAAAACUUACAUUCUAAUAAAGUGUGAGGCUGACGGUACCUCGAUAAGAAGCACCGGCUAACUACGUGCCAGCCGCCGCGGUAAAAC